rnacentral:tRNA from 1 species
AGACUGAUAGCUUAUUAGGAAAAGCAUGUUGCUCAUAACAAUGAGGAAGAUGGUUCGACUCCAUUUGAGUCUA